CAGGACUCGCAAGACUCCCGUAAACCACUGUGAACUUACCUACAACCCGUUGCCUCGGCGGGUGCUUCCGGCCGCGAUCUUCGGCGCUCCGGGGCGCUCCAGCCCGCCGGCGGCCCCUAAACUCUGUAUUAUAACGUGGCAUCUGAGGACAGACUUAAGAGUA
rnacentral:misc_RNA from 1 species